UCUACCUUAGGGGAGUGCAGAGAUGAA
rnacentral:piRNA from 1 species